GUCUUACUGAAAAUAAUAAUAAGUCUGUUCUGCCCAUUGAAAUAAUUUUAAAGGCUGCAGUAAUUUGACUGUACAAAGGUAGCAUAAUCAAUAGUUUUUUAAUUGAAAACUUGAAUGAAAGAAUCUAUAAAAUAUUAAUUGUCUCAAAUUUAAAAAUUGAAAUUAAAUUAAAAGUUAAAAUUCUUUUAUUUUUUUAUUAGACGAUAAGACCCUAAGAAUUUAAUUAUUAUUUUUUGUUGUUAAUUUUAUUAUUAAGUUAAUGAUUAAAUUGAAAUAAUUUUAUUGGGAGGGUAAUUAAAAAAUUAAACUUUAAUUUAUUAUAAACUUUGAUAAUAGGAUUUAAAUGAUUAUUAUUAUAGUUGUAAGAAUUAAUUACCUUAGGGAUAACAGCGUAAUAAUUUUGGAAAGUUCAUAUUUAUAAAAUUGUUUGCGACCUCGAUGUUGAAUUAAAGUAAAAAUUAAAUGAAGAUAUUUAAAUUUUUGGUCUGUUCGACUAUUGAAAUUUUACA
rnacentral:rRNA from 1 species